AUUGAACGCUGGCGGCAGGCUUAACACAUGCAAGUCGAGCGGAGAUGAGGUGCUUGCACCUUAUCUUAGCGGCGGACGGGUGAGUAAUGCAUAGGAAUCUGCCAUUUAGUGGGGGACAACAUUCCGAAAGGAAUGCUAAUACCGCAUACGUCCUACGGGAGAAAGCAGGGGAUCUUCGGACCUUGCGCUAAAUGAUGAGCCUAAGUCGGAUUAGCUAGUUGGUGGGGUAAAGGCCUACCAAGGCGACGAUCUGUAGCGGGUCUGAGAGGAUGAUCCGCCACACUGGGACUGAGACACGGCCCAGACUCCUACGGGAGGCAGCAGUGGGGAAUAUUGGACAAUGGGCGGAAGCCUGAUCCAGCCAUGCCGCGUGUGUGAAGAAGGCCUUCGGGUUGUAAAGCACUUUCAGCGAGGAGGAAGGGGUGUGUGUUAAUAGUACACACCUUUGACGUUACUCGCAGAAGAAGCACCGGCUAACUCUGUGCCAGCCGCCGCCGUAACAC
rnacentral:rRNA from 1 species